UUGCUACAGCAGUAUCUAAACUAAACCUAGAAUGAUACAGAGAAGAUUAGUAUGGCCCCUGUGCAAGGAUGACAUGCAAAUUAAUGAGCCAUUGCAUAUUUUU
ensembl:snRNA U6 U6 spliceosomal RNA